rnacentral:rRNA from 1 species
AUGAACGCUGGCGGCGUGCCUAACACAUGCAAGUCGAACGGUCCUUCGGGACAGUGGCGCACGGGUGAGGAACACGUAGCUAACCUGCCUUCGGGUUUGGGAUAACGGCUCGAAAGAGCUGCUAAUACCGAAUAAGCUCACGCUCGGUAAGGGGGUGUGAGAAAAGGGGCAACCCGCCGGAAGAGGGGGCUGCGGCCCAUCAGGUAGAUGGUGCGGUAACGGCGCACCAUGCCGACGACGGGUCGGGGGUCUGAGAGGAUGAUCCCCCACACUGGGACUGAGAGACGGCCCAGACUCCUACGGGAGGCAGCAGUGAGGGAUAUUGCGCAAUGGGGGAAACCCUGACGCAGCGACGCCGCGUGGGUGAAGAAGGUCUUCGGAUCGUAAAGCCCUUUUCUGCGUGACGAGAAACAGGACGGUAGCGCAGGAAGAAGUCUCGGCUAACUACGUGCCAGCAGCCGCGGUAAAACGUAGGAGACGAGCGUUAUCCGGAGUUACUGGGCGUAAAGGGCGUGUAGGCGGCUGGAUAAGUCUGCUGUGAAAGCCUUCGGCUUAACCGGGGAAAGUCAGCGGAGACUGUCGGGCUCGAGCGUGACAGAGGUGUGUGGAAUUCCGGGUGUAGUGGUGAAAUGCGUAGAGAUCCGGAGGAACACCAGAGGCGAAGGCGGCACACUGGGUCAUAGCUGACGCUGAGACGCGACAGCAUGGGGAGCGAACGGGAUUAGAAACCCCGGUAGUCCAUGCCGUAAACGAUGUUCACUGGGUGUUUGGGUCGGGAAACCGGCCUGGGUACCGCAGCCAACGCGCUAAGUGAACCGCCUGGGGAGUACGGUCGCAAGAUUAAAACUCAAAGGAAUUGACGGGGGCCCGCACAAGCAGCGGAGCGUGUGGUUUAAUUCGAGGCUACACGAAGAACCUUACCUGGGCUUGACAUGCAGGUGGUAGGGAACCGAAAGGGGACCGACCUUCGGGAGCCUGCACUGGUGCUGCAUGGCUGUCGUCAGCUCGUGCCGUGAGGUGUUCGGUUAAGUCCGCAAACGAGCGCAACCCUCGGCGUUAGUUACAGGUGUCUAACGCGACUGCCCGUGAGAAACGGGAGGAAGGUGGGGAUGACGUCAAGUCAGCAUGGCCUGUAUGUCCAGGGCUACACACACGCUACAAUGGGCGGUACAAUGGGUCGCGAAGCCGCGAGGUGGAGCCAAUCCUGAAAGCCGUUCGGAGUUCGGAUUGCAGGCUGCAACCCGCCUGCAUGAAGCUGGAGUUGCUAGUAACCGCGCGUCAGCCAUAGUGCGGUGAAUACGUUCCCGGGCCUUGUACACACCGCCCGUCACGUCAUGGGAGCGGGUCAUGCCUGAAGUCGGGGAGGUAACCUUACGGAGCCAACCGCCGAGGGCAGGGCCGGUGACUGGGACG